CUUGGUGAUUGGAGCGACGGGGGUCCACCCGGUCCCAUCCCGAACCCGGAUGAAUCGUGCUUGCACGAUCGUUAAGCCCGUCAGCGCUGAUGGUACUUGGAGGGCAGCCUCCUGGGAGAGUAGGUCAUUGCCAAGA
rnacentral:rRNA from 1 species